rnacentral:rRNA from 1 species
GACGGGACCGCACAAGCGGUGAUGAUUGUGGUUUAAUUCGAUGCAACGCGAAAACCUUACCACCUUUGACAUGUACGGAAGUUGCCAGAGAUGGCUUCGUGCUCGAAAGAGAGCCGUAACACAGGUGCUGCAUGGCUGUCGUCAGCUCGUGUCGUGAGAUGUUGGGUUAAGUCCCGCAACGAGCGCAACCCUUGUCAUUAGUUGCUACGAAAGGGCACUCUAAUGAGACUGCCGGUGACAAACCGGAGGAAGGUGGGGAUGACGUCAAGUCCUCAUGGCCCUUAUAGGUGGGGCUACACACGUCAUACAAUGGCUGGUACAAAGGGUUGCCAACCCGCGAGGGGGAGCCAAUCCCAUAAAGCCAGUCGUAGUCCGGAUCGCAGUCUGCAACUCGACUGCGUGAAGUCGGAAUCGCUAGUAAUCGUGGAUCAGCAUGUCACGGUGAAUACGUUCCCGGGUCUU